GUUACUAAUGUUUCCUAUUUAUUCAUUAAUAAAAAGUGCAUAGUACAAGCCCUUUUUCCCAAUCCAAGUACUCAGUAAAAGAUUACAAUAAACCCUGGAUGGCACAGACAUGAUUUGUUUGGCAUGAUUUAAACAUUUAAAAACAGCAGUUAACAUUUGGUACAUCACAUGACCACUUUUGCUUUUAACAAAGUAAUCAUCAGACACAGUAACAAAUACAUAUGACUUUUCAUUUAGAAAUGUUAUAAAGUUAAGACUAAACCUACUAUUGCAACAACAAAAAUUUCACCCAUUAAUUUAAACUCUCGAUUUCUCCUUCAAGUUGCUGUUUUGUGUCUUAAGCUGAGCUGGUCAAAUUUUAGCACAUAUUCAUUGACAGACUUUGAUUCAGGGUGUGAGACUUCUGAGGUUCCUUUGAAAAUAUAAGAUACAGAUAAUUUAUAAACACUGUAACAUCGCAUAUCACAAAGACACUAAAAGUAACCACUGAAUG
rnacentral:lncRNA from 1 species